rnacentral:lncRNA from 1 species
ACUUUUAACUGUUAACUCCUUUGAUCUAGUGUGGUCCAGAGUCCCCUGUGUGCUGCUGCUGUUGACGUCACUGCACCUGGCUACUCACUUCAUUGACCCACUGCUUUGGUUGGAUGCAGUACAGUGCCCCUCUGGUGGAACAGUGAAGAUGCAGUCCGGCUUGUUUAAGGACAUUUAAAUUCAUGGCGGUACAUCGUCGUGGACGUGCUGAUGGAGCGGUUUGGAGUGCGGUUGGGGAGCAUCCACUGCUGCCAGGACUUCGCCGGGUUCGUGGACGUAACGUUCGAAUGGCUGAAGACCUGCCUGGACCUGGUCCAAGCCUGGGAGGAGAAGAAGGACCACAGCACACUGGAGGGGCUCCGCUUGGUGCUGCUCUUCGGGCGGGAUUCCAUCCCCCUGGUUGUACAUAUGUACAACCCCUUCGUGGCGGACCGAGACAUUGAGGUGUUCCUGGGCCGCUUUUGCGAGGAGUCGAAGGGCGGCACCAAGCUCCGUGACGACCUGGGAGUUUGGACCGGAAAGAGGAGAUAUAUCGUCAAGCUGCGCGAAAAGCCAGGAUCCCCGGAAAAAUCUGUUCUGCAGGUACUGACAAUGACCAGAAAGGGCGCUACGGGAUCGGCCUUCGGGCGGCGAGUGAAGAAUACCAUGAGGUUCAGUAUGGAGGCUGAUGCGUCGGAGGUGAUGCAAGGGACUUUCAGCAGGAAGAACAUCUUGAAGAUGCUAGUUGAGGCUUUUAAAGCGACGCCGAACCAC